GGCCUGAUGGUCUAGGAGUAUGAUUCGUUGUUAGGGUUAAUUACUAUCGACGAGGUCCCGGGUUCAAUUCCCGGUCAGGCCC